AAACUGUUUGGCUAGGGGUACCCUGCAUCCUGCGUGGACACACCCUCUAAAGCGGAGGCGGGAAGUUGGGUUGACCUGGCCUCUGUGACUUCUGUGGAGAAGAGAACCCUCAUUCCAGACCACAGACAGCACCAGCUGACAGCUGAUCCUCUGGGAGGCGUGAAGAUGGAGUUGGCAGCUGAGGAGCUGUGAGGGUGCCGAGCCAGGCACCGGGUGGAGCUGCUCCACAUUCAGGAUGGGCGAUGGCGGCUUCCAGGAAGGCAGAGGAGCCUCUCAGAGGGCAGGAAGAGGAAGAGGAGGCAGAGCUGCCGGGAAGAACUGUGGGGUCAGGGUCUCCUUCUUGGUGAACUCAGCUGAAGACAUCCAAGAUGAUGAGAGUCUCCCCAAGAUAUAGGAGAAGAGAUGUAAGAAGGGCUUUGAGAGACCAGGAGUCUGAGCAACAUGGUGGAAACUGAUAGGCUUGAAGAUGAGACAUAGCCAGUGAACAUUACCAGGAAUGGCUGAGGCUCAAGAGUGUGGGUUUGAUUUUAAGUCAUGUGCUGGCCUGUGUAACCACUCUCAUUAUCCUCAAACCUCCAGUGAAACUCACUCAUCUGGGACAGCGUUGUGCUCCUGGGAGCUUUGGGGAAUCAGAGAGGCUGCAGAGUUUUUUGGGUUAGCUCAGGGGAGAGAGAAUCAGAUAGACAGAUGUAUUUGUAACACAUACGAAUACGUUCUAACAGGAGAACUUAUACCUUCUUCACCUGCCAGGGAGAAGCCCAAAGGAGUGGCUAUGCCCCAGACUAGAGAGGCCAGAGGUGGCUUCCCAGUGGUCCAAGCUGGGGCUAAAAAUGUUAGUGUGUACUUUAAUUUCCUGGGGCUGUCUUAAUAAACUGCCCCAAACUAGGUGGCUUGCAAGAGAUAUUUAGUCUGUCACCACUCUGGAAACAAGAAAUCUGAAGUCAAGGUGUCAGCAGGACUGUGCUCCCUCCGAAAGCUCUAGGAGAUGAGAGGCCUCUCCCGGCCCCUGGUGGCUGUUGACCUUCUUUAUGAUUGCAUCACCCCAAUCUCCACCUUCGUCUUCACGUGGCCUUCUCCCCUCCUCUGUGUGUCUGUGUCUUCUUCUGUCUCUUAUAAAGACAUUGAUCAGAUUUCCAGUCUGUCCAGGGCAAUCCAAU